rnacentral:tRNA from 1 species
GCGCCUGUAGCUCAGCGGUCAGAGCACUUGCCUACGAAGCAAGGGGUCGCCUGUUCGAUCCAGGCCAGGCGCA